GCAUAUCAAUAAGCGGAGGAAAAGAAACCAACAGGGAUUGCCCUAGUAACGGCGAGUGAAGCGGCAACAGCUCAAAUUUGAAAUCUGGCUCUCGGGCCCGAGUUGUAAUUUGUAGAGGAUACUUUUGAUGCGGUGCCUUCCGAGUUCCCUGGAACGGGACGCCAUAGAGGGUGAGAGCCCCGUCUGGUUGGAUGCCAAAUCUCUGUAAAGUUCCUUCAACGAGUCGAGUAGUUUGGGAAUGCUGCUCUAAAUGGGAGGUAUAUGUCUUCUAAAGCUAAAUACCGGCCAGAGACCGAUAGCGCACAAGUAGAGUGAUCGAAAGAUGAAAAGCACUUUGAAAAGAGAGUUAAAAAGUACGUGAAAUUGUUGAAAGGGAAGCGUUUAUGACCAGACUUGGGCUUGGUUAAUCAUCUGGGGUUCUCCCCAGUGCACUUUUCCAGUCCAGGCCAGCAUCAGUUUUCCCCGGGGGAUAAAGGCGGCGGGAAUGUGGCUCUCUUCGGGGAGUGUUAUAGCCCGUCGUGUAAUACCCUGGGGGGGACUGAGGUUCGCGCAUCUGCAAGGAUGCUGGCGUAAUGGUCAUCAACGACCCGUCUUGAAACACGGACCAAGGAGUCGUCUUCGUAUGCGAGUGUUCGGGUGUCAAACCCCUACGCGUAAUGAAAGUGAACGCAGGUGAGAGCUUCGGCGCAUCAUCGACCGAUCCUGAUGUUCUCGGAUGGAUUUGAGUAAGAGCAUACGGGGCCGGACCCGAAAGAAGGUGAACUAUGCCUGUAUAGGGUGAAGCCAGAGGAAACUCUGGUGGAGGCUCGCAGCGGUUCUGACGUGCAAAUCGAUCGUCAAAUAUGGGCAUGGGGGCGAAAGACUAAUCGAACCUUCUAGUAGCUGGUUUCCGCCGA
rnacentral:rRNA from 1 species